GAUGAAGAACGUAGCGAAAUGCGAUAAGUAAUGUGAAUUGCAGAAUUCAGUGAAUCAUCGAAUCUUUGAACGCACAUUGCGCCCGCCAGUAUUCUGGCGGGCAUGCCUGUUCGAGCGUCAUUACAACCCUCAGGCCCCCGGGCCUGGCGUUGGGGAUCGGCGGAGCCCCCCGUGGGCACACGCCGUCCCCCAAAUGCAGUGGCGGUCCCGCCGCAGCUUCCAUCGCGUACUAGCUAACACCUCGCGACUGGAGAGCGGCGCGGCCACGCCGUAAAACACCCAACUCUUCUGAAGUUGACCUCGAAUCAGGUAGGAAUACCCGCUGAACUUAAGCAUAUCAAUAAGCGGAGGA
rnacentral:misc_RNA from 1 species